GACGAACGCUGGCGGCGUGCCUCAAACAUGCAAGUCGAGCGAGGUGAGACCGAACCGCAAGGUGAGGUUGAACCUAGCGGCGAACGGGUGAGUAACACGUGGGUAACCUGCCUGGAAGAUUGGGAUAACGGCUCGAAAGAGUCGCUAAUACCGGAUAAAUGUCCUGGUGCUGCAUGGCACCGGGAAGAAAGGGGAAACCCGCUUUCAGAUGGGCCCGCGCCCCAUCAGCUAGUUGGUAAGGUAACGGCUUACCAAGGCGACGACGGGUAGCCGGUCUGAGAGGACGAUCGGCCACACUGGGACUGAGAUACGGCCCAGACUCCUACGGGGGGCAGCAGUGGGGGAUCUUGCACAAUGGGCGAAAGCCUGAUGCAGCGACGCCGCGUGAGCGAAGAAGGCCUUCGGGUUGUAAAGCUCUGUCUGGAGGGACGAACAAAAUGACGUACCGUAAGAGAAAGCACGGCAACUACGUG
rnacentral:rRNA from 1 species